AGACAGCUGACCAUGGAAGCGAAUGGGUUGGGCCUCCAGCGUAGCAUACUGACACCUACCCCCACCCCCACCUGAUCGCCAGACCUCAGGGUUUUCCGGAGCUGAAGAAUGACACAUUCCUGCGAGCAGCCUGGGGAGAGGAAACAGACUACACUCCCGUUUGGUGCAUGCGCCAGGCAGGCCGUUACUUACCAGAGUUUAGGGAAACCCGGGCUGCCCAGGACUUUUUCAGCACGUGUCGCUCUCCUGAGGCCUGCUGUGAACUGACUCUGCAGCCACUGCGUCGCUUCCCUCUGGAUGCUGCCAUCAUUUUCUCCGACAUCCUUGUUGUACCCCAGAUGUUUUCUCCCCCUCCAGGCACUGGGCAUGGAGGUGACCAUGGUACCUGGCAAAGGACCCAGCUUCCCAGAGCCAUUAAGAGAAGAGCAGGACCUAGAACGCCUACGGGAUCCAGAAGUGGUAGCCUCUGAGCUAGGCUAUGUGUUCCAAGCCAUCACCCUUACCCGACAACGACUGGCUGGACGUGUGCCGCUGAUUGGCUUUGCUGGUGCCCCAUGGACCCUGAUGACAUACAUGGUUGAGGGUGGUGGCUCAAGCACCAUGGCUCAGGCCAAGCGCUGGCUCUAUCAGAGACCUCAGGCUAGUCACCAGCUGCUUCGCAUCCUCACUGAUGCUCUGGUCCCAUAUCUGGUAGGACAAGUGGUGGCUGGUGCCCAGGCAUUGCAGCUGUUUGAGUCCCAUGCAGGGCAUCUUGGCCCACAGCUCUUCAACAAGUUUGCACUGCCUUACAUCCGUGAUGUGGCCAAGCAAGUGAAGGCCAGGUUGCGGGAGGCAGGCCUGGCACCAGUGCCCAUGAUCAUCUUUGCUAAGGAUGGGCAUUUUGCCCUGGAGGAGCUGGCCCAAGCUGGCUAUGAGGUGGUUGGGCUUGACUGGACAGUGGCCCCAAAGAAAGCCCGGGAGUGUGUGGGGAAGACGGUGACAUUGCAGGGCAACCUGGACCCCUGUGCCUUGUAUGCAUCUGAGGAGGAGAUCGGGCAGUUGGUGAAGCAGAUGCUGGAUGACUUUGGACCACAUCGCUACAUUGCCAACCUGGGCCAUGGGCUUUAUCCUGACAUGGACCCAGAACAUGUGGGCGCCUUUGUGGAUGCUGUGCAUAAACACUCACGUCUGCUUCGACAGAACUGAGUGUAUACCUUUACCCUCAAGUACCACUAACACAGAUGAUUGAUCGUUUCCAGGACAAUAAAAGUUUCGGAGUUGAA